GUCCAGCUGACGAGUCCCAAAUAGGACGAAACGCGCGUCUAUACUGAAU
rnacentral:hammerhead_ribozyme from 1 species